rnacentral:tRNA from 1 species
GGGGCUGUAGCUCAAUGGUUAGAACCGGCCGCUCAUAACGGUCUGGUUGCAGGUUCGAGUCCUGCCGGGCCCACCA